rnacentral:rRNA from 1 species
GACGAACGCUGGCGGCGUGCCUAAUACAUGCAAGUAGAACGCUGAAGAGAGGAGCUUGCUCUUCUUGGAUGAGUUGCGAACGGGUGAGUAACGCGUAGGUAACCUGCCUGGUAGCGGGGGAUAACUAUUGGAAACGAUAGCUGAUACCGCAUAAAAUUGAUUAUUGCAUGAUAAUUAAUUGAAAGAUGCAACUGCAUCACUACCAGAUGGACCUGCGUUGUAUUAGCUAGUUGGUGAGGUAACGGCUCACCAAGGCGACGAUACAUAGCCGACCUGAGAGGGUGAUCGGCCACACUGGGACUGAGACACGGCCCAGACUCCUACGGGAGGCAGCAGUAGGGAAUCUUCGGCAAUGGGGGGAACCCUGACCGAGCAACGCCGCGGGAGUGAAGAAGGUUUUCGGAUCGUAAAGCUCUGUUGUAAGAGAAGAACGGGUGUGAGAGUGGAAAGUUCACACUGUGACGGUACCUUACCAGAAAGGGACGGCUAACUACGUG